rnacentral:rRNA from 1 species
AGCGAACGCUGGCGGCAGGCCUAACACAUGCAAGUCGAACGAUCCUUCGGGAUAGUGGCGGACGGGUGAGUAACACGUGGGAACGUGCCCUUUGGUUCGGAACAACUCAGGGAAACUUGAGCUAAUACCGAAUGUGCCCUUCGGGGGAAAGAUUUAUCGCCAUUGGAGCGGCCCGCGUCUGAUUAGCUAGUUGGUGAGGUAAUGGCUCACCAAGGCGACGAUCAGUAGCUGGUCUGAGAGGAUGAUCAGCCACACUGGGACUGAGACACGGCCCAGACUCCUACGGGAGGCAGCAGUGGGGAAUCUUGCGCAAUGGGCGAAAGCCUGACGCAGCCAUGCCGGGCGAAUGAUGAAGGUCUUAGGGUUGUAAAAUUCUUUCACCGGGGACGAUAAUGACGGUACCCGGAGAAGAAGCUCCGGCUAACUUCGUGCCAGCAGCCGCCGUAAUAC